CAGGUGGUCCAGAAGACUUGGUGAAAUUGUGGAGCACAGCGGGGGAAAAGCCUUGGUUUCUUAACCACAGUGCGGAAGCUUAUUUACUGACACGGUACAAUGGAAGUCCAGGUUAUUUCAGAGUCAACUUCAUCAGUGAAUGAAAGAGAAAGAACAAAGGAGAGAGGGAAACACCUAAUGAAACCCUACUCCUCCAUUAUAACAUAUAUAAAUGUCACUUCCUAUGGGAAUAUUUUU